rnacentral:misc_RNA from 1 species
UGCCGGCUGGCUCCGUGCCCGUCCACCGAACGGUCGGCAGGCGAUCCGCGUCGGUCGUGCGAGGUGGUAUGGUUCCCCAGAGGCCGGUUCUUGUGCUGCCUACCCCUUCAAGGGAAGCGGGCCACUUGAUGUAAGCCUUCCAUCCGGCGCCUUCCAAUGGGCGCAGGAGGACAACAGAGCACCCCCCGCGUUCCACCGAGCCUUCUCGGUCGCGUGGCCCGCGGGGACGUGCGAUGCUCUCGGACCCAGCGAACGCCGUGGGCGAGGACUCACGUCCCAGUCCCGAAAAUAAGCUCCGAUAUAAUGCAUGACGGCCGCUCCCGCCCCCCUUCCGCCCCGGCGGCGCGGGGCGAGGCGCGGCGUCCAAAGGAAUGC